UCCUGGCAAGUCAGUCCCACGUGAUGUUGAGCAUCCGACAACUAAGCUCCCACAUCUUCUCCGCCACCUCUUCGUCUCUGCCUUCCGCCGAGCAGUCGGCGGGGGCGCAUUCCCUGCGGAAAUAGAGGGUGGGGGGCAAACUGAGGCGUGCUCGCUGUUGAUGUCGUCAAAUUUGAUGGAGGUCCAAGCGUGAGCCAUGGAGGACACUAUCACCACGCGGGCGGGAGACGAACGCUUCAGGAGAUCCAGCAGAAGGAAACAGCGACAGCACAGGGCCUGCACUCAGUCACUUUGUGACAGCUGACGGCCAGCUGAGCAAGCGCAGAACUGUUAUUAUUGGCUUCAAAAAGGUGCUUGUGUCUUUAGACAGACGUUCAAGCAGCACCAUUUUUAAGCUUUCACAGUGCGAGCAUGUCAUACAAAAGAAAAGGCCCCACUGGAAGAGACCACAUGGUGAGCUUCAUAUGCCGGGCCAGGAUCCGAGCAGAUGAGAGCCAUUAAUAUUCCCGUGGCAUCCCAGAUCACUUGCCGUUGCCAAGGAAGCUGGGCAACAAUUUGCCCCUUCCACUAUUCCGCAAGGUCAGUCGAACUGUGCAAAGCUCCACACUCGAGUGCCGGUGCAAACCUCCAACUAGCGUCCAUGGGCUUUGUUAUGAUAUGCUAGCAUUAAGCUAGUGUUGCUCAUAAAGUGCCGGGAUUACAAACGCCUUCUGGCAAUAAUGAGAUCCACUUCCCCGACCGGCGACCUUUACACAAUAAUAAGAGCGAGCGGCCCGCUUAAGCCGCGACCGCGCGCCUCCUUAAGACUCGGGUGCAAAGCGGCUCGACAUAAAUGCGCGCAAUACGAUAAAACCGCUUAUCAAUCCGCGUCCGCACACUCGGACUUUUGUUCAUCGAAGUCCGUUAGCAGGAAGUGGGCCACUGUAAUCCUGGCGUAGGCGCCAACGUGGCUUGUUAUGACUGCAAAUAGGAGCGGUUGACCCUUAUUUAGCACGCGUUCAUCUGUUUAGACAGCAGCGCAUUAUGCGCUCCGCAAGUCUCGUCCAGUUGUUUUCAUGAGUGCCGUUUCAUCUCAAUCAUCAGCUUCAUUAGCGUGUCUAUGUUUAAGCUAGCGACGAUGGAGGUUUGUGAGUUUGCUUUGCCAACAUUCACACACACACACGCACACACACACUGUCAUAAAACCAAUUGUAAUGAGCUAAUAAAGAAUAAAAACUUCUAGAUAAAUGUGACUAAGUAAACAUACACUUUUGCUCCCAUAGAAUGUGCGCACACGAGAGGGACAAGCAGCAACACACAACCACUUUACGAUGCACUUAAUGAGCCACAAUCAUCCUUAUCUACAAACAUACAUACAUUUUCUGAAGCGCUUAUCUUCACGAGGGUCGCGGGCGCAGCUCAGCGAACAUAUCCGUGCGCACACACACACACAUUGAUUGAAUGAGUUGAAGUUUGAUUGGCAUUUAGCUCCUAUAUGUGAUGAUUUCGGCCAAAGCCAAAGUUAUCCAUAUUCAAAGUUAAAGAAGUGAACUAAAGUACGAAAGAUGUCGAAUUAGCGAGAACAUAUUUUAUCGCGAGGCCUUAUCGUGACGGCGUGUAGGUGACGUGUGGACCGUGCCCGCGUUCCCACAACUAUUCAGCUGGAAAGUGAUUUCCCACCCGGUUAAAAACUAACACCAAGUGGUCAACCAUUAACCAUAACCGUUUUUCCCACUUCUUUUGGAAUUCAAUUCCAACCAUCGUAUGUGUUCUAAAAAUGGAUUCAUUUGACCAAACUAAAUAAGUUUUUUGGAGUAGAUAAGGCAUCAUCGUCUUUGUUUGAUGUUGACUCGGACUCGACCCCCGCCGAUUAAAAUUGUCACUCAAGCCAUUUCCCGUUUUGCUAGCGGCUCGUCCUCGCUCGGGUGACAUUGACAGAUUUGUUUACAAGCGGUGCUGUGAGAGAAAGCACCGGCUAUCUUUUGGAAGUACACGUGUGAAAACAUUUUCAGAAUGUCGCAACAUCACCUGACAUGAGCGGCAAGGCUGCAAGAUGGCGACACGCGAUGCUCUGACAAGAUGUCAGUACUGAUGCUGAUGAUGUAACGUCUUAUGUAAUAUGUGCCCCUCCUCCUAAAAGAAUUAUCGGUAGAAUGAGGCUGAGCUGAUGCUUACAAAACAGGCAAUGUGAAUUUUUAGGGCAGGCAAAAAUAUGAGAUUGUGUCCUUUAUAUUUUUAAAAUAUAUAAAAAUAUUUCUAAUUUCCCCAAUAGAAUUCCCAUGCCGUUUAUGUCAUAAGAGACUGCGGGAAGAAAUUAAGGGCCCAAAUUCCCUUCGGACGAGCGCCCUGAUGGAUGGCAGGAAAUUCCUCGUUUACAAACGUCACUGUACAGACAAGAUGGCGUCUGUGAUUGUCGAAGCAAGCCAAAAUAGGAUGUCGUUGAUGGCGGGAUAACGUUUGUCACCCCCAUGGGCAGGAGAGAACAUAGAUGGCAGAUAGCACAAGAAUGCGCACCUGCAGCUUGAUUUUUUAGAAGCGUUUUGUAGUUUUACAAAAAGAACGACUCUUGACGCUUUUUGCAUGUUUUUCUCACUUUCUUGCUGGUGUCCCAAUACUUUUGGACAAACAUCACAGAUGGGCCGCUUGUAGUUUUUCAAAAACAUAUGCGUAUAUAUAAAACAUUUUUAGUUCUUGUAGGUGUCCUAAUACUUUUGCCCAUGAGUAGAUGGCAGUUAAAAGAUAAAAACACAACUGUUGACAUUUCAAAAGUAUAUUUCCACUUCCCCAUUGACCGAAAACACAUUUGGCAUUCUAAAGGCGUCCCAAUAUUUUGGUCAAACUGCUCGAUGCCACCGCAGCUAUGCCAGGCAGUAACGUGAGAGCGGUGACCUCGUGAGCGCGCCCGCGUGUGUGCGAACAGGAAACUUUACUCCCAUGAGUAAAGCAAUCUCUCCUCCUUAGCAACCGGCGAGCACAGGAGAAAAAUUUGACCCACUCUCGGACGCGCUCGGUCGUAUCUAAUCAAGUACCAGUCAAUGAGUGCGAUUGUUCUUCCUCUUUUAAUGGCUCAACACACAAAAACUCUUUCUUCUUCUGGUGGGAGCAGUAAGAGGAGAAUUUGGGGAGCGGGGCAUCAACAAGGCCCUUGAUUAGCAUGCUAACAUAUUAGCAUAGACAUUUGGAGAAGAAAACAAAGUCUCGACAUCUUUUGAGAAAAUGUCAAAUGUUGACGCGAGUGAUGACGCCCCCGAGAUUGGGCAUACACGUGUCGAUAGUGAGUGAUAGUGUCGAUGGAAUCCGACAUGCGCUCCUUUAACCUUAUCUCGAGGGAAGCAUGCUGCGAUAGCAUCCACGUGGAAGAAUACGCUUUGUGUCGCCGUGACAAUUGAUGACUGUGCAAAAAUUAAAUGCAAUUGUAGUCUUAAAAAAAAUAUCCACUCAUAGAAAUGGAAGUUGACUAUUUAUGGCUAAUGUAAGUAUGACACAAUAGAAAUCAUACUUCUACUCUCAUUUAGCCUCUCAGGUGCUUUUUCUACUGCUACUCACACACAAGUGUGACAUUGCUUUACAUGAUCACAUGCCAGGCGACAUGUAUGUCAGCCCAGUGACCUGCUAGAUUACGCAACAGGAUGCAAAAGCCCACAGGGUCCGUCCGUCUGACCAUGUGUGUGUGCGUGUCCAUGUAAAAUGAAUCAAUACAAUCUAUGCAAACAGUGUGCAUGCCACUGUUUGAACAUUGAUUUCACCUUGAGGGAAAAAAAAAACUUUGCGUUAGUAUGUGAGGCAAAAAAAAAGAAGGCGUGUGUGUGUGUGUGUGUGUGUGUGUGUGUGUGUGUGUGUGUGUGUGUCAGAGUCAGAGUCAGCUUUAUUGUGUGUGUGUGUGUGUGUGUGUGUGUGUGUGCGUGCGUGCGUGUGUGUCACAUGACAGCCCCCAGCAAGGUUAUCCAGCUGUCACAACAGAUCAAAAACAAAACACACACGUUAAAAGUGUCACUGUGUUAGCAAUUCCGUUGAUGAUAUGAACUUGUGAAUUUUUAAGGCCUUUUAAAAAAACACAUUGAAUUUAAAUUGAACCUGUAAUAUAAUUAUUUUUUAUUAUUUUCAACCAACUUGAGUUAUGUAAUCAAAUCAAUAAUUAUAAAUCAUGAUGUCAUCAUGUUACAAACCACUCAACACAGGUCUUCUUUCAAAACUUUUAUGUAACUGGUCGAAUGUCCAUUUCAUAGAAUAACGAUAAGACAAACAACUUCUGAACAGGGCUUAACAACCACUGGCGUCAAUCAAAAUAAAAACAAUAAGGCAUCUAAUUUGUCAUCAAAAUUGAAUUACAAUCUCUCUUUAGUACAUCAGUUCAGAAAUAGAGAGAUUAAAUGAAGCGCCUGAACGUCUCAUCUCAUCUCUUGGCAGCUUCUCGUCUUCUUCUUUGCAUCUCUUUUAAAUUAUUAUCUCAAUUGCACACUUUUGUUUUUUGACACAUAAUUCAUUUCAAUUUCUUUCCACAGGAGGACACAUAGACCAGUCGUUGGUUCGGUAAAGUGACAUCUGAUAAGUGCUCCACGGGACACAAAUACAAUUGCAUGAAUAUUGGACGGAGGGGAGACACGUGAGUUUUGGUGCGUACUGUCGUGCCGUGGCUAAAAGGAGGUAGGAGAAAGAGGCUAG